rnacentral:lncRNA from 1 species
GGUAAUUCUCUCUUUCUCUCUCUAGAAUGCCCAACCAGUGAGAGAAAGUCUGGAAAUAAGCUUUAUCAAGGGUUUUGAACUGAGAUAGUGAAAGAAUUCAAAGGUUCUAGUCAAAAGAGCUCAAAGGUAUGAAAACUAGAGCUAGAGAGAGAAAAUCAUGCAAGCUCUAUAUCAAGUUUCCAUGGAGUUUUGAAGAAACGUAAGAGAGGAGAAGAAGAAGAAGACAAGCUGUUGGAAGAUCUCUAGAAGCUGCUGGAAAUUCAAGAUAUUUAUAGGCCAAAUUUAUCCAUUCCCUUAAAAUUACCAAAUUACCCCUCCACCAAUUAGCUUACUCUCCUCUAAUCUUUUAUGCAAUAUUUUUGCUCUUUUGACACUAGGACAAGGUCCAUAAUGGUCUAAACAUACUCGAGUUCAUGAAAACAUAAAAUUUUAACCCGAUGUGAAAAAUGACCAUUUUGCCCCUAUUAUGAAAAUUGUUGCAACUUCUAGUUUUCUUCGUGUUUUCAUCGGUACACAUCAUUUAUGCAGUCUUAUACUUAUUUAGACCUUAAAAUAUCAUAAAACUUUCUUCUGUGAGC